CCUACGGGGGGCUGCAGUGGGGAAUAUUGGACAAUGGGCGAAAGCCUGAUCCAGCAAUGCCGCGUGUGUGAAGAAGGCCUUCGGGUUGUAAAGCACUUUCAGUGGGGAAGAAAGCCUUGGGGCUAAUACCCUCGAGGAAGGACAUCACCCACAGAAGAAGCACCGGCUAACUCCGUGCCAGCAGCCGCGGUAAUACGGAGGGUGCGAGCGUUAAUCGGAAUUACUGGGCGUAAAGCGCGCGUAGGCGGUCUGAUAAGCCGGUUGUGAAAGCCCCGGGCUCAACCUGGGAACGGCAUCCGGAACUGUCAGGCUAGAGUGCAGGAGAGGAAGGUAGAAUUCCCGGUGUAGCGGUGAAAUGCGUAGAGAUCGGGAGGAAUACCAGUGGCGAAGGCGGCCUUCUGGACUGACACUGACGCUGAGGUGCGAAAGCGUGGGUAGCAAACAGGAUUAGAUACCCGUGUAGUC
rnacentral:rRNA from 1 species